UGUUAGUUUAUUUUUUGUGGAUAUAUAAUAUAUUUUAUUUUAGUAUUGAAAUUUUCUUGUUUCUUUUUUUUACAUGUAAAAUUGUAUGAAAAUUUUUAGUUUAAAUAAUAAAAUUAGCAGUAAAUAUAAUUAUAAAUUAAAUAUAUUUAGAUAUAGAAAUUGAAUCCAAAAUUAGCUUAAUUUGUGCCAGCAGCUGCGGUUAUACAAAUAAUUUAAAGAAAAUAUUACAGCUAAAUAUUUAUAGAUAUCAAAAUAAUAAUUUAAAAUUUAUAAGUAAAAUUUUAUUUUUAUUUUACGUAAUUUAAAUUUAUUAAUUAUUAAAUUAGAAUUAUAAAUCAGGAUUAGAUACCCUGUUAUUCUAGUGUAAAAUUUGUUAGAGUAGUAAAAGUUAAAAUCUUGAAACUCAAAAAAUUUGGCGGUAUUUCAUCUUGUUAGAGGAACCUGUUGACUAAUUCGAUAUUCCACGACUUAAAUACACUUUUAAAAUAUUACUUGUAUACCGCUGUCAUGAAUCUAUUAGUAAAUUAAUUUUCUUUAAUUUUUAUGAAUAUUAUGUUAGGUCAAGGUGCAGUUUUUAAAUGGUUAAUAUGGGUUACUUUUUUAUUAUGAAUGGAUAUAAUUUGAAAAUGUUUUGAAAUUGGAUUUAAAAGUAAAUUUUUUUUAGUAAUAAUGUGAAUAAAGAUUCUGAGAUAUGUACACAUUGCCCGUCACUCUUGCAUAAAGUAAGACAAGUCGUAACAUAGUAGGUGUACCGGAAGGUGUUCCU
rnacentral:rRNA from 1 species